GAUGAACGCUAGCGGCAGGCCUAACACAUGCAAGUCGAGGGGCAUCAUGGCGUAGCAAUACGCUGAUGGCGACCGGCGCACGGGUGCGUAACGCGUAUGGAACCUACCCACCGCAGGGGGAUAACCCGCCGAAAGGCGGACUAAUACCCCAUGGUUCCCCGACCCUGCCUGGGGUUGGGGGUAAAGCCUACGGGCGGCGGUGGAUGGCCCUGCGUGCCAUUAGCUGGCUGGUGGGGUAAACGGCCCACCAGGGCGACGAUGGCUAGGGGGUCUGAGAGGACGAUCCCCCACACUGGUACUGAGACACGGACCAGACUCCUACGGGAGGCAGCAGUGAGGAAUAUUGGUCAAUGGGCGGAAGCCUGAACCAGCCAUGCCGCGUGCAGGAUGACGGCCCUACGGGUUGUAAACUGCUUUUCCCCGGGGCGAAUAACCCCCUCGCGAGGGGGAGGCCGGUACCGGGGAAGUAAGGAUCGGCUAACUCCGUGCCAGCAGCCGCGGUAACUCGUCUCUA
rnacentral:rRNA from 1 species